UUGGUUUUUUAGGGUUUCACCUAAAACCAGCCGUCAUUGUCCUCUUUCUCUCUCAUCAGUCCCUCACUCUCUCUCCUCUCCUCUCCUCUCCUCUCUUCUCCUCCCCGUCAUUCACCUCACAUCCUCAGCAUCAUGGUAAAGGCACUUACGCUACUCGUCUUUCGAAGCUUCUCGAUGUUCCUCAUAUUUCUACUGGUGAUUUGGUUCGUGAUGAGCUCGCUUCCUCUGGUUCUCACAAUCCUAAGGUGGAUUUGUCACACAUCUUGGUGCAGAGCUCAGAUUACUUGAAGUUUUUUGCCACAUUAUUUACAAGAUUUUUCCAUCUAGUGAAAAGAUUGAAAAUAUAAAUGACCAGUACCGAACGUUGCGUGCAGAGGAGACCCCUGAAGAUAUAAAGAACCUUGAACCUAAUGAUCGUUUGAUCCAUGUCUACCAUUGUACUAAGGAGCCUGCACAGAAUCAGUGAACUUUGGGGAACCCUUUUUCUUGGUCAUUCGUGAAGGUGAAACACUAGCUGAAAUUAAAGUGAGAAUACAAAAGAAGUUGCGUGUUCCUGAUGAAGAAUUUUCCAAGUGGAAGUUUGCUUUUUUGUCGCUGGGUCGGCCGGAGUAUUUGCAGGAUACUGACAUUUUAUCUAGCCGUUUUCAGCCUGGCAGGUCAUAAAAAUUGCGGACAGCGGAGCUGAUAUUGUUGGAAUAACAGUGCACGAAUGGCAAUUGAUAUGGAGGGGGAUAUAAUCAAGCACAACACCAUUUCAGAUUGCGCCAAGAAUGCCUACGAAAUUGAUGUGGUGGAGAGCUGCAUCUAGGCUACAGGCUUUGAGGAACCUUCCUCUCACUUUAUGUAAUCGUAUUUAUGGAACUCAAGUAGAGCAUGCGGUUUUCCUGUUGGAGCAGUUUCUAUAACUCCCUGAACUUGUUGAUUUGAUUAAUUAAGUAAUAUGAAUUCCC